CCCUUAGAUGUUCUGGGCCGCACGCGCGCUACACUGAUGCAUUCAACGAGUCUAAAACCUGGUCUGAUAGGGCUGGGUAAUCUUUUGAAUGUGCACCGUGAUUGGGAUAGAUGAUUGCAAUUCUUCAUCUUCAACGAGGAAUGCCUAGUAAACGCAAGUCAUCAGCUUGCAUUGAUUACGUCCCUGCCCUUUGUACACACCGCCCGUCGCUCCUACCGAUUGAAUGUUCCGAUGAAUACCAUGGACUGAGAGUAUGAAUGGGUUCGCCUAUUUCUGCUUCUCGGGAAGUGGAGUAAAUCUUAACAUUUAGAGGAAGGAGAAGUCGUAACA
rnacentral:rRNA from 1 species